rnacentral:rRNA from 1 species
AUUGAACGCUGGCGGCAUGCCUUACACAUGCAAGUCGAACGGUAACGCGGGGCAACCUGGCGACGAGUGGCGAACGGGUGAGUAAUACAUCGGAACGUGCCCAGUAGUGGGGGAUAGCCCGGCGAAAAGCCGGAUUAAUACCGCAUACGACCUACGGGUGAAAGCAGGGGAUCGCAAGACCUUGCGCUAUUGGAGCGGCCGAUGUCAGAUUAGGUUGUUGGUGGGGUAAAAGCCUACCAAGCCGACGAUCUGUAGCUGGUCUGAGAGGACGACCAGCCACACUGGGACUGAGACACGGCCCAGACUCCUACGGGAGGCAGCAGUGGGGAAUUUUGGACAAUGGGCGCAAGCCUGAUCCAGCCAUGCCGCGUGCGGGAAGAAGGGCCUUCGGGUUGUAAACCGCUUUGUCAGGGAAGAACGACUCCGGGCGUAAUACCUUGGGGUAAUGACGGUACCUGAAGAAUAAGCACCGGCUAACUACGUGCCAGCAGCCGCGGUAA